UACGGCCGCAUCACGUUGGAACACCGGUUCCUGUACGAUCACCGAAGUUAAGCAACGUCAAGCCUUAUCAGUACCUAGAUAGGUGACCGCUUGGGAAUACUAGUUGCUGUAAG